AUUGAACGCUGGCGGAAUGCUUUACACAUGCAAGUCGAGCGGCAGCGCGGGGCAACCUGGCGGCGAGCGGCGAACGGGUGAGUAAUACAUCGGAACGUGCCCAGACGUGGGGGAUAACUACUCGAAAGAGUGGCUAAUACCGCAUACGAUCUAAGGAUGAAAGCGGGGGAUCGCAAGACCUCGCGCGUUUGGAGCGGCCGAUGGCAGAUUAGGUAGUUGGUGGGUAAAGGCUUACCAAGCCCGCGAUCUGUAGCUGGUCUGAGAGGAUGAUCAGCCACACUGGGACUGAGACACGGCCCAGACUCCUACGGGAGCAGCAGUGGGGAAUUUGGACAAUGGGCAAAGCCUGAUCCAGCCAUUCCGCGUGCAGGAUGAAGGCCCUGGGUGUAAACUGCUUUGUACAGACGAAAAGCUACUUCUAAUACCAGAGAGUCCAUGGUACCGGUAACUUGUAACGGAAUAACGGCACCGGGACUAACUACCGUGCCCAGGCCAA
rnacentral:rRNA from 1 species